CAAAAAGUAGCUUAACUAAAGCACUCAACUUACAAUUGAGAUACGUCAACACUAAACUGACCUUUUUGC
rnacentral:tRNA from 1 species